AGCCUCAAACUACUGUAGCACCAAGAAGACAGUGACACAGUCAUGGAAGAACAAAGGCAAAAGCCAGAUCUUGGCACUUUUCAGAUCUGAGCCAGAAGAUCAAUGAUGGAGCAGCUUCAGUAAGAGAAGGACAAACAGUGGUCACAUGCCUCCGAGCUGAUGCAGUUUCAUGUAGGUAUUGCUUUUUGCUCCAAAUGCUUGACCUGAAUCUAAAACCGGAUAAUGAAACUGAGAAAGAUUGACUGUGGGGUGAAGAAAUUAGCUGCUAGGAUGCUUCAAAAUAAGCCUCAUGAACCUCCAAAUUAGUGGAGGGCCUUCUCUGGUUGACAGAGUAAACGGGCAUGCCAAUUAAAGACAAUGCAUGCCUUUUAAAAGUAAGCCUCAUAUUUUAAAUACUUGAAAAAAGCAAUUGGACACCUGGAGACUAUCUGUUUAUGGUCUGGGUGCUGCUGUCCUAUGAGGGCUAUAUAUACUUUUGGGGAGUGGGUAACAGAACUUUAGUCAUAUGAGAAGAUAUGCUGGUCCUCAGGAGGAGGCUGGAGGGAAGGCCAGGGAGAUUGGAGGAAGCACUGCCUUCUCUUCCCCUCACCUGUUUCCCCAUGAGAUCAGUUAAUGCCAUGGCUGGGAAAUGCUCAAAUCACCCAGUACUGUGAUUUGACUUGCAUUAAGUUCAAUUUGUAUUGGAGACAAUUUGUCAGAUCCAGGCAGAGGUUGUAUACUUUGUAUACUUGAGAUUCAGCUCCCUAGAGAGGCUUUGGAAUCGCGAACACAGCCUGGGACAGCCUUUGCUUACUCUUUGAUGUAAAGGGUCUGGAAGCUGACCUGCACUAUCCAGGAGCUGGCCUGGGACAAUGAACCUUCAUCUGGAGAUGGAUAGAGAUAGAGACAGAGACCCACACGGAGCACCGGACUGAGCUCCCAAUGUCCCAAGGAGGAGCAGAAGGAGGGAAAAUAUGAGCAAAGAAGUCAGGACCACGAGGGGUGCACCCACCCACGGAGACAGUGGGGCUGAUCUAUUGUGAGCUCACCAAGGCCAGCUGGACUGCAACUGAAAAAGCAUGGGAUAAAACCGGACUCUCUGAAUAUGGCGGACAAUGAGGGCUCCCUUAUUUUUUUUUCCUUUCAAUAUUUUAUUUUUAAAUUUUUACUUUUUUACUCCAACUCAGCCUGCUUUCCAAUAACACAAUUAGACCAGAAAUAUUCUGUAAAUUGGAGGAAUUAAAAUUAAGUAUUCUAGUUUGGAACCGUCUUCCAAGAUCAGUACUUUCAAAUGUUUAGAUCUGCCUAAAAUAAGCAAAAUCCAUGUUUCUUUGUUAAAAAAAAAUUCCCCGAUAUGUUAUAUUAAUAGUAUGUUCACUUCACACCAGGUUCUCUGGCAGUUAAAGAGAUAAUCAGAGUUACUUGAAGAAGCAGAAAAAGUCCACAGUGUCUACGAGACAAAAAUGACAGCUCACAUCCAUAAGAUAUGACCAGUUUGCAUGAAUUAUUUUAGCUACACUGUAUAAAACUGCCUGGAAAAUUUCCUCGUGAAAAGCUAGCAUGAGAUUUACACUUGUAUGCAGAGAAUACUGACUCAUACAGUACAAGGACUGCUCUCCUGAACUUGGGGUCUGGGACUCAGCACAGCCUCCUGUGCACACUGACUUGCCGGAAACUAUCCACACAACUGUGAAAAUCGUGACAGUAUAUAGUAAGGAUGACGUCCAGGUCCAGGUCCAGAUCCAGGUCCUCCUCCCAGGCUGGAGAACAGCGCAAGCCAUUGUGUGAAGCUGGGUCUCAGGGCCACCCUGGAGAACAGAGAACUGAACUCUCUAUUCUACUACUAUAAUAUCCUAUGAUUUUUGAGGAAAGAAAAUCAUCCUCAGGCGACCUCAGCAUCCAUUAGAAGAUGCCAAUAAUAUGUGCUGCAGUUAUUUCUCAUCCGGGUAAGGUGAAGACGGAUGAGUUAAUGCCUGCAAAGAGCUCUGACUUCUCCAAAAAAGCACUGAAAAUCUAUUAUAUCAUCAUUUCAUCUGCACCAAGGAGGCUUUGAAGUCACAUUUGCUUCCAUCUUUCAAAUGUCAACUGAGAUUAUUAUGAGUAUAUCAAAAAAUGCAAAUGGCACAGGAAAGUGAAGAAAGAUGGGGAGAUGUGAGGGAGCACAGAAUUAAUGCAUAAUGUCAAAUGUGCAGCUGGCACCUAACUCCAAUAAGUGAAAGGCAUAAUUCCUGCUCCUCAGAAUUUAAUAAUCAAACCAACUAACCUCAUACAGGUAAACAGAAAGCGACCAGCAUAAAUAUGUGGGGUGAAGGAGUUAAAAGGACCUUUACUGCAGGAUGCUAAGCUACCUUCCUCAGAUCAGAGGAGCAACGAGAAAAGGAGCCUUAGGGUUUUCAUUGCUGUGAAGAGACGCCACGACGACAGCCACUCUUAUAAAGAAAACAUUUAAUCGGGGUGGCUCGCUGACAAUUUCAGAGGUUCAGUCUAUUAUCAUCAGGCAGAUGUGGUAUUGGAGCUGAAAGUGCUACAUCUAGCAGGAUAGUUGACUGAGACACUGGGUGGUAUCCUGAGCAUAGGAAUCCUCAAAGCCCAUCCCCUAAGCGACACACGUCCUCCAAACAAGGCCACACCCACUUCAACAAAGCCUCCUAAUAGUGCCAUUCCCUAUGAGACUAUGGGGGCCAAUUACAUUCAAAUUACCAUAGAAGGAAAAAGAAAAAUGGGAGACAUUCUUGUGAAAAACCAAAUCAGAACUGUUGAAAGAACAAACUUGUCUGCCUACGAUUUGAAUCAAUCUAUUUACCUGGUUCUACCCCAGCCUAUUUAUGACUCAUGAUUAUGAUGACUUGCCAUCAACACCAGAAGGACAGAUCUCACCUGUGAUCACUAACUACUUACAGACAAACAGGCUAUUUCAUGUGGCUGCAGCAUCUGGAUUAAGUUUUCCUGUUGGGAAGAGAUGUAAGUUUGAAGAUACAGAAGCCGUGAAAAUCACUGUUCUACUGUGGAUUGAGACAUGACAAGAAGUAACCACAGAAACCAUGUUCUGUGGCCCUAAGAGAAGAGGGAGGGAGAUCCUGCAAGUCCCCUCUACAGACAUUGUUGCCACCCUUAGAGGUAACAUAAGAAAAUGCGCUCUCACACACCUCGAAACUGAUUUCUCAGAGCCUAUAACUUUCCCUGUGGCACUUACGAUAUAACGGUGGCAGUUGUACUCACUUACAUUAACUGUUCACUUGUCCUCGUGUUCUACCUUAACAUAGGAUGUGUGAUCUGGAACAACCUUACCUACUAGCUUCAAGGCUUACCACAUGCAAAGACAAAGCUGUUCCUACCUCUGCUCACUUCAGUAGCUGGACUUAAGGUUCUACUUUCCUCCUGCACCAUAUGGCUUGGGCAAUGUCUAGAGUCAGCCGUCUAAUCCACACACUUUAUUUCAAGGUGGGGGAAUAAGUCCAGAUACCUUACUAAUCUUGGACACAGCAGUGCAACUAAGUCUCCAGACUCUGGUGUUCUGUCCUCUUUACCACAGCACAGUCUGUGUCUUCACCAGAGAAACCGGGGAGCUGAUUUGGAUUAGUUGAUCAAAAUUAAAUGGCCUGUAUUACUUAUUACUUAAAUUAGUUGAAAAAUAUAACUGUGUUUUUAAAGUUUUUUUUCAGUGCCUGUAGACUGACUUAACAUUUUAGGUUUGCGGCCUGGAGCACAAAUGACUCAUUAGUGUCCCGAGACCAUGGGAUUCAGACACAAAGUCUUUAACUGAGGAACUUUAUACUGAAUAUUUUUAUUAUUUUUUUCAAUACCAGUUUCAUUGUAAAAUACUGAAGGAUGUAUUAUUCUCAGUUCUAGAAAAUAUUGGCUAAAGUAGUCUUAAUCAUCUUUAUAAGGAAGAAAGAAGUCAUAGUUGCUAAGUUCAGGCUCAAUAUUCAGAUUUCAGUAAAAAUACUUUGCUACAUCUAUAAUAUAAACAUUCCAUAAAAAUUAAAGGGGUGGGAGAUGGUUCAGUGGUUAAGGGCUAUUCCAGAGCACCCAGGUUUAAUUUAGGAACCAACAUGGCAGCUCACAAGUGUCUAUAACUCAAGUUCCAGGGGAUCAAACACCCUCACAGGAAAAACACCAAUGUAUAUAAAAUAAAAAUAAACCAGCUAUUAAAAAAUUAAAGAUGAAAUUCAGUAGUCUAUCUUCACUUUUCAACGUUGGAAAAGCAUUUCAUGAUACAAGAAGGAAUUAUUGCAAGUCUUUACUUGUAAUUCUAGGGAUAUAAAUGCUGUUAUUAGAAAAGAGGUAAAAAAAUUCAUUGCAACUAAAAGAAUAAAAAUGAAGGUUUUCAAAAAAUUUCUCAUUAAUGUCAAUGAAAUAAAUUGGAAUUUGGAGAAAGGAAAUUUUAAUAUUGAAAAUAUUUCAUCAAAGCUGAGCUAUACUGUCUUUUUGUACAAACUGGAAUGAUGAUAAGCCGUCACGUCCGAGGCUCAGAAAUCCUAGCUAUUGCAUUUGACAUCCUAUGGCUCGUGUUUCUGUCAAGGUGAAAAUUAUCUCUAAGAUUAAAGUAUUCCUUUUCAUUGGCGAGGCUGUAUAAUACAGUUGGAUCCUACAGACGAGGAUCCUACAGAUGCUGCUCCUGAGUUCAGGUGUCUGACAGAGUGCUUCAGGUGUGCCUUGCUGCCCCUCCUUCCUGCAGCCCCUUCUCAUUCAGGCCUGUGGCCAGAGAGUGGUGGAGCUCAUCUUGCUUCAGGGUUUUCAUUAUUCCUGAUUUAUUUUGUUCAGUACUGAAAUACUCAUCAGCAGUCAAUAAAGCUUCUUUACUACUUUUGUCAUUUCAGUGAACCAUUAUCUUCUAUUUUAAAUUUCUGAAUCAAAGAGAAAUAGCUGCUUUAAAAAUUCUUCCAGAAACUCCGGCUUCUCUUUGGAGUAAUAUUUAGCCUUGCAUGGCUUUUGCAGCAUGUAGUGGAGGUGGUAGGUGUUAGGAGCAAUCAUGGUAGCUUACAUAAAUGAUUUCACAUGUGACAAAAACUGUACUGUCAAGGUGAGAAACAAUCUUCUAAGUGUUAGGUAUUAAAUACGUUGGACCUUAUGAUAUGCAUCAGGCUUAAUGCUGCAGCCUCCAGAUGCUCACGUGUGGAGCUUUAGUGCACUAGAUCACAUGGUACGGUAUGCUUCACAGGUAACGGGCUCACUCCUUAACAGUGUGGUGGGCUGCAGCUAGUACAACCACUAGACACGGAGCCUGUGAAAACUGCAUGCUUGCUGUGGUGCGUGAUAGACGCACGCUGCUGGCUUCUAAGCUGAGGAAGAGAAGGAUCUAGGUUCUGUUUUGGUUUUGCCACAGAUCCAGUGAAUAGAGGAAUGUACGCAAUUCCCCGUUAAGAGGCCACUGUGACUACAUGAAAAUAUUAAAGUAACUGAUUAACUUCCGUCUGGUUUCCUUCAGCAUGGUGAUUUUACGGUACUUCAGGGCUAAGGGAUAGCAACUGAAAUGAGAACAGAAAUGCCAUAUCUUGCCAUGCUGCCUUUCCUUAAAAAGAGUACAGAACAUUCUAGUCGGGUGCUUUCAAUUGCCACUUAGGAUGACAUUUCUAUUCCUUCCAUGUCCUGGGAAUAUUUUAACAUUUUGUGAAAAUAUUACCAUUGUCCACUCAGUAUUCAUAUGGUUUAUUACGUAGGGGAGCAACCUGUUAAGGGUGGAGUGGAGACUUGUAUGUAAGGUGGCAAAGGACUUUAAAUUACAUUUGUGGUCAUUUUCUUUAAGUCUAUUGUGAAAAUUUUCCCAUACUGUGCUGGAUUUUGUUAUGUUUAUAAAUAAAGGAGCAGACUGACUCUUAACACUGCAGUGAUGUGGGAAGGCUGGAGUAUUACAGGUCUAGAGGCCAAUUAUCUAUUCGCAGGUUAGUUUUACCCUAAAUCGUUAUUUCCUGCCCACAUCUGUGUCUGAAUAUCCUGUGGCUAGGAUAAAAACCUUUUGGAAUCUAUUGGCCUAUUAGAUCACUAGCUUCCACCAACCCCUAAGCUAAGAUUGUCAGCAGAGAGCAUCUCAGGCCUGUAGAACAGCCUCCUCUAUCUUGCUGUUACUGCCUAUCUGAUGCACCCAUAAAUGUAUUUUAAACUUCCCUUGAUCUAUGACUUUGUUUGUUCUGUAAAAGCAUAA